UUAAGGAAAGGUUUGUCAGCAGGAGGUUGGGAUGGCUUCAGCAUGCACCAUCUACAGCAAAACCACCAAAUGCUGACGUUUUUGCUGACUCAUAUUCAGGAAAACAUGAUGCGCAGACACAAUGCACUGUAACUCUUUUUCUUUCCCCCACUAACCUCGAAAGUUUCUGUAUUUCGUGCAAUAAAUGGCUGAGGAAACAUGUGCAGUAAUAAGAGAUGAAGAGGAGACCCAGAAAAACUCUGAUGAAGACCCAUUUCAUGAUGCUGAAACGGCAUUGCCUGAUUGCUAUGCUGGCCUUAGUGAAGGCAACAGAAGCUCAGAGGUGCCAGAAAGACUGUCUGUCCUCUCUAGCAAGGCUGUGGCCCAAGCAAAAGCACUUGCUGGACCAUCAGCGGUCGUCAGUGGCAGCCAGGCACAGAGCAAGGCAUCUGCCUUGGCCAAGCACCACCUGAUGGCUGUCAGUGCAUCAGCAGGAGACUUGUCCUGCUCUACAACAAUCUGUAAACCCAAGCCCAGGGGCCUUGCCUCACCGUGCUCUGAAAGUGUCUACUGUAGCUGUGACCAGGAUUCAGAAGCAUCAUGUGUCCCUGGGAUGCCUGACGGGGCUGGUAAGCCCCCCAGGGCAGUCGUGGCCCUGUUGGUGAACAACCUCAGGUGCUGCCAUGUGCCAGCUGAUAGUGCACGGCCUGUGGAGAGCUGCACUGAGGGCAACCCUUGCAGUCUGGGCUCAGCCAUCUGGAUGAAGACCACAACAGUAAUGGAGACCCUAGAAAAUAAGAAAAAGGAGGAAAAGGAGAAGUAUCGGCUCCAGCUAGCAAUGUACCGAAGACUCCUGCUGUUGCGUUCGAUCAGGAGCUUGCACAAGCAGCUGGAGCAGCAGCAGGCCAGGUUACAGGAAUGCUAUGGCAUAGUCAUAAAUACCAAGAAAGAAGUGUUAAAACACAUUCGUUCAACCUUGCCCUCUCCUUCUCCAUAAUCAUGUUGCUGCACGCAGAAAUGAGCUUUGUAAUGCCACUGGAGCCGUCAGCAAGCUUGCAUGCCAUGAGAUGGUUUCUUCCAAGCCAAGAGAAUGUGCCCACGUGUGCCGAGAGCAAAGAGGAAAUGGCAACAGCAGAGCGAGAAGAAAGAGGAAGGCAAAGCGUUGGCCCCUGAAUUUGUCUGCAGGGAGCUGGAAUAAGAUUAUAUCUGUGCAAUACCGUAAUGCUUGAUGUGCACUCAAGGCUUCAAGCUUGUGUAUGACAUGAAAUUGAAAAAAAAAAAAAAAAAAGAAGGAAAAAACCUGAGAACAUAGUCUGAUGUGAUCAUCAUGUGACUUAGUGCUAAUAGAAUGAACAGAAUUAGGGUUCAGUUCUCUUCAAGAACCUAGCAAGUCAGGAUAUUAGGAGCACUUAAACUCAGGCUUGAUGAUGUCCACCCAGCUGCCUGCUUUUCAGAAAACCGCUUAGGCUAUUGCCUGUUUGUGACCUCUACCCUCCCACAAAAAAAUGUAUUCAUAUUGACCAGAAGUCUUUCUGGAAGGUCAAACAGUCAAACACAUGUACAGAGGAACCUUGCAAUUGCCUGAGCCCUAUUAGGAAGGCAAGCUAAAAGCAAAGGCCUCAUAAUCUGGCAUUGUGUUGGAAGCCCAGACUGUCAGUGCCAGGGGAAUGUUCGAGGUCUGCACAAUUAUUAAUCUGCUGCUAACUCCCAGUGGCACUAGCGUCUGCAAAUCAAGCACAUUUUGUGCCUUACUGCUGUCAUUUAAUGGAAGUUGGUGACAAUUAGCACUUUUUAUCCAGGUGUAUUAUAUGCCUGGAAAACCCUAGAGCAAUUUCUUCAAUUGCUAGGUUAGGAUGCCUGCAGGAAAUCUGAUGUCAGUAAGCAACAAACAAACAUACAGAAAAAUAAAGAAAAAAGAUGCAACUUCUUUUUAUGCAUUAAAAAGCCAGUCUGGGUCCCUAUUAUCGAACAGCAAAUUGAAUUGUUGAAUGUGCUGUCUUAGAGUCUGAAGCAAAAAUUAUUUGAGAAGAUAUUGAAAGGCUCCCCUUUCUGGGACUUAGAGUGGCAUAGAAAAAUCUUUUUUUCUUUUCUUUUUUCUUCAGGUACCCAUUUCUGAUGAUGCCACCUUUUCUUUUGCCCUGUUGUUCUUUGUUACAAAUGUGUAAGUAGAUAAGCAAUCAGACAAGUUUUUGGCAUGGAUUUAUUUGGUUUUGGUUUUUUUUUUUUUUCUUUUUUUUGCAUGAAAAUGCAAAUCUGUUACUAGAAGUCCUAUCUUUCUCAGAGUAGUGUUCUGUAUGUGGGAAUUUUUUUGCCUUGGCUUUUUCGUGUGCUCAUAGAGGGAAGAUGUCUGUGUUUGUGUGCACACACAUGCACUUAUGUACAAAUGAUCCUAAAAGGCUGGCACUUCUUUUUCUGUAGUAAAAACAGGAAUAAUCUCUCAAAAUAAUCUUUGCUGUCUUAGAGGAGUUGCUUGAUUAGAUUCACAUGAGCACAUCUGUGAGCAAGGUAUUGAAGUAAUUUAACAAUUGAAGUGCAGCACAACAUUGUUAUUAUUCCAUCUUUGUAUUUCCUUGCACCCAAAAUAAUGGAAGCCCCCUGGGUAUGCACAACCUUAGAUAGGCUUAUUCAUCUCCUUGGGCCCUUGCACAGCCUCUUACACAGCACGAGCCUGUAAUUUUGUAUGCAGAAUUACCAUAGAAACAUUCUUGGCAUCAAGGAGAUAUUUGAAGGAGCAUCCUGUACUGUCUCAUAUGGGGGAUUUGGGUUGCCGGCAGCUGUCAGUGGGCUGCCGAAGAUAGAGCUGGGGAUCUAUGUGACUGGAGGACACUACUCCUAUGCCCGGAUCUCACCCAGCUUUGGGAAAGCUGUUCAUAGCCAGUAAUGCGCAUUUACCAAAGAACACUAAACUCACCUCAAAAGUAAUCUGUUCUAUCUUAAUAUGCCUCCUAGAAAGGAAGAACAAUCAUGGCUAAGAGGACUAUGCAAAGAUUUGAUUUUUUUUAAUUACUAUAUAUAUAUAUAUUAUAUAUAAUUAUAUUGUUAUUAACAAAACCUAAAAAAAAAACCCACAUUUUUUUUUUCUCCUAUUCAUUAAGAGUUAAAGUUCUGUUAACACAGACACAAGCAGACCAUUAUUAGAUUGUCUCUUUGGGAAGGAAAUAUUGGAAAAGGGGUGCAUCUCUCAAAAAUAAAUAAAUGCAAAAUUACUCAAUUCUGAAAUUAAAUGUCAAACUGUUUCCAUUAAGAUGAAAAUUAAAAAAAAAAAAUUGUUAAUUCUUCUUUGUACAUCAUUUUAGCCUAAUUUUAUUUUUUGUCUUCUGAAUAAGAUUCAGCUUUGCGAAUACUAUCAUGUUGAAUUUUCUGCUGACAUAAAAUACAUGUGCACAAAGGUAAGGUGAUGUAGUUAUUUUGCCUCAGUAACUGCUGAAGUAAUGUCCUAUGCAUUACUAUAUAGAGCUACCUAUAGUGUCAAUUCUUUUUAAAGGUGACUAGAAAAUCACUGAAAAAUAUUUCUUACACUGUACACAGUGUGGCAAUAGUUGAUUUGUCAACCUGUAUAACUGAAAGUACUUUGUGGCAGAACUGUGACUUUUUUUUUGUAUGACAUCUCUCGCAACGUUUCUUGUUUCUUAUUGGAAUCAGUAGAUGCUUCUGCACUAUGAAUAUUAAAUGUCAAGAGGUCUGUGCUUGAGCAAUGCUGCCUGGCAAGAAAAUAAAGCCAAUACUUGUUCUGUGUAUGCACAGUCUUUCCAUGUAGUGAUUUUACGGAUACAUGCAAAAUAAAUGUUAACUGAAGAAAUAACAAGAACACUUGUCUUUAGAAGAGUUUGCUGGUUACCUGGUUGUUCUAGUGUGGCUUCUAAUAAUUGUGGUUGGCCGAACCAAUUAAAAGCUACAAGAUUUUUAAAAUAAGGAUAUUUUACAAGCUUGGAAAAUGUGGUUUAACAGCAAUGCUUUUCUCCUGUGUAUGUCAGCAGCUGAGGACAAGCAGGAAAAUGCUGAGUAACCCAUGGAGGUAUUUUGUUGUGCACCAGACAAAGCAACAAUCUCAGUUUUAAUAAAAAUGCAUCUUCUCAACUAUUUUCAUCUCUUUGUAUGGUUAAGAGGCUUGGUGGUUUGGAUGAGGUUAAACUAAAUUUCUUAAACUUUGUAUUUCUUUCUGAACCCAAACUACAUGAGUUUAGUUCUAAUCAGAGAAAUAAGCUGGAACCACUGACACUUCAUAUAUGUAUGAAAAAACUGUCAGGUCUUGGGUAAUGGUGACAAAUUAAUCAAUUCCAGUAGGGUCUUUCUCCCCAUUAUAUUACUGCCUGCCUGAUCAUGUCAAGCUAACAAUCUAGGAAAAUCUCUUUGAGCCAAUAUCUUGUUAACUACUUCCACAGCGAAGGCUGAAGUGAAAUUGCACUGUCCGAGCCUUGAGGUCCCACUGCUCACCUAAUUGCCUAGCUAGCCUGAUAUGGCAGGAAAUAAGUGGAUUUACCAUGGAAGAAAAAGAUGUUCAAAAGAUACUGGCACCUCAGAGUCAUUACUGUUACUGAGGAAGUUGUAGCAUAUGCCUACCGAAAAACAGAUAUUUUUAAGAACUUUAUCUUUUAUAAGCAAUUAAUGACAAAAUGCGUUACUGAGUUGGUUUUCAAUGCAAGGUCUUUUCUUCCAUGCCUCUGGCAUUUUAGGUGCUGCCCUGGAGACUUGUCAGAGCUGUGCUUUUUGCUACUUCUGUUGUUGAUUACCAUGAGCCAGCCAAGAUAAGAAGACCAAUUUUGUUUAUUCAUUAUUUGUUGUGAUGGAACAUCAUACUAUGUGAGGGGUUAGCUCAUUUCUUUUCUGAGAUUUUAUGUCUUUCACAUUGCUUAAUUAGAACAAUGCUGGCUUUACCCACUUAUAGUAAAUUUUGAGGGCAGGCUUGUGAGCUAUGCAAUACUAAAUCCAGAUCAUCCUAUGUUGUUCUUAGCUAUAUGAAAUGAUGGAUUCUGGUCAUGACAUAAAUAUAUGAAAGAUUUAAAGAUGAGGAUGUUUACUCCUGACAGAUGAGUAGACUUAGAGAAAUUCUAGAGAGUACUUGCUACAGUUUAUCUCUGAAUUCUGUGAAACUAGAAUAUAAAUGCUGUGAAGCACACAUUCUGCUCAUGACUCUUGAAAGCAAUGCAGUAAUGCAAGAGUGAAUGUCAAAUAUGCUUGAAUGGAACUCUACUCUGAAUGUGCUGGGCAAGGAGUAAAUUUUUUUCAACCCUAAAACUCAGAUGAGUAUGAUAGCCAAAAGUUCAGAUAUUGGAUGGAUAAUGAGAGUGAAUGGAAAUUAAAAAUAAAUAAAUAAAAUUCAGGGUUUGAUACUUAGUGUUGCUGAGAUUCACACGUAUGCCAUUUGUCCCAGUUGGUCUGGCAUUUACCUAAUCAG
ensembl:lncRNA